rnacentral:lncRNA from 1 species
GUUUGAGCUUUUGUUGUGUGUUUUAGGCCAUGUUGUUACUUUAAGACAUGGUAAUGUACUUUUUAGUGGUUUCUAAAUCUUGAGAUUUUGUCUCGUGAAUUUUUUUUUAAGUCAUAAUGUAUAUAUGGAUUAAAUAAACAUCUUUUGUUUAGAACAUAUUUACUGUGAACCAACUUAUUUUAGAUGACAAUUUAUUAAGCGUUUAGCCCUU